rnacentral:rRNA from 1 species
UACGUAGGGUGCAAGCGUUGUCCGGAAUUAUUGGGCGCAAAGAGCUCGUAGGCGGUCUGUCGCGUCUGCUGUGAAAACUCAGGGCUUAACCCUGAGCUUGCAGUGGGUACGGGCAGACUAGAGUGCGGUAGGGGAGACUGGAAUUCCUGGUGUAGCGGUGAAAUGCGCAGAUAUCAGGAGGAACACCGGUGGCGAAGGCGGGUCUCUGGGCCGAUACUGACGCUGAGGAGCGAAAGCGUGGGGAGCAAACAGG